rnacentral:rRNA from 1 species
UACGUAGGGGGCGAGCGUUAUCCAGAUUUACUGGGCGUAAAGCGCGUGUAGGCGGCUGGUUAGGUGUGAUGUGAAAUCUUCGGGCUCAACCCGAAAACUGCAUUGCAAACCGGCCUGGCUAGAGUGCAGGAGAGGGAAGCGGAAUUCCAGGUGUAGCGGUGAAAUGCGUAGAUAUCUGGAGGAACACCAGUGGCGAAAGCGGCUCACUGGACCAUUACUGACGCUGAGGCGCGAAAGCUAGGGGAGCAAACAGG